UGAAUUGCUUUGCUUGGCUUCAAACUCGC
rnacentral:piRNA from 2 species